CUGGGAUGCUGAUCCACAUGAGAAGGCCCCAGGUUUGUGUCCUGGGACCUCGCUGCAUGUACUCGCACACAGGAUGGUCUUUUAUAACCCAGAAGCCAUUUUUAUUCAAGAAGAGCCAUGUGGUUUUCUCAAGCAAUUUCUUGGUUAGAAAUGUCAACAAAAUGGGUCACCUUGGCGAAGAGGAGCAGAUCAGCACAUGGGCCAAGUGUCAGACCAGAACAGACUGAUGAGAAGAUUACCAGACAAGGAGGCAUGAAGAUUUCAAGAUACCUUCAAGGGACCCUGACCAAAACAAGAUCUUUCCCUUGUAGGGCAAGUCAC